CCAUUUUAAUCCCUUUAACCCUCUAAAACCCUAAAGGGAACAUCAUUUUUCCCCUAUGCCAAAAAACAGUCGGCCAUUCCCCUUUCCCUCUCACCGAUCUCUCAAUUCUCCCCCUUCCCUUUCUCUCUCCACCACGGUGAGCCAACCCUGGCGAGCCAACCUCUGACGCCCAGAGACAUCGAUAACCUCCACCACCUUCAUCAGUGAAUCCACCCAACCCGACACUCCUUCUAUCUCCUUUCCCCCUCUCUUUUUACCCCAAGCCGCGGCUGCUCCACUAUUUUUCGGUCGGCGAGCCAUCAAUCUUCUAUCGUUUCUACGAACUUUGGCCAACCAUGGCCGAUGAUAACCAACACCACCAGCCACUACUCCAGUCAGCCGCCACGUAACUUCUCCGACCACAUUCCAGCGAGAGAACCACUGAGCCACCACCAUCUUCCUUCCAUCUCUUUCCCCUCUCCAUGCUUUCUCCUUCCUUCUACCAAACAACUACUGACAACCACAACAGCCGCCCAUUUCUUCCUCUUCUCUGGAAAAGUUCAGAGCCGCCGCCACCGACUUUUACUAUUUCUCGCCCUCUCUCCUCCUCUCUUUGUUCAAAAUUUAAAAAUCCAAGAUUAGCUCUUCUACGACGAACUUUGGAGAAAUCCGACAAGAUGAGCAACACAAAUGGAUGUGCUAAUCAUUUCUCACGACUAAAUUUUGGGAUGAUCACAAUAGCUUUGGAUUCACUCAAUUUAUUUUUUGAUUUUCAUUGAAUCUUAAAGAAUUAUCCAUCUCGGGUAUGAUUUUCUCUAUGCUUGAUUACUAUCAUCUCCAAUUUCUUGCUUUGGGCAGAUUCUUGGUUGUUAGAUUUGUGCAUUUUGUUUAAGUUGUCGUGAUUCUUAUUUGUUUACCUCUUUCAACCAUAAUAUGUGAAAAUCCCAAAUUCUCAUGAAAGUAAUCUUAGCGAGAGUUUGUUUCCUGCUUAGAUUAACUUGAUUAUUACUUGUCCGAGGCCUUUGAUUAUUUGCUUUUUCCCAUAAAGUAUGCUUGUAACAACAUUGGUGGUUUUAUUUUGGUCAUUCAAAGCAAUAUAUGUUCAAUACGUGCGUUAUUCUAUCUUUAGUAAAUUUUGAUUGCUAUAAUAAUUUUGGUAAGCUUAGAUUGAUUUUGGGCUUGGUUGAUUCAUUCACUAUAAUUGAGGGUACUUCUUAUCAGCUCAGUGGUUUUGAUUAUUGACUUUCAUUUAACGAUGCGGACAACCUAGUAUGUGAUUGCUUGUGAUAAGUUCUCAGUGAUUUUCUUUCUUUUCCUUUAGCAAAUGUGACUACUUCGUAUGGUAACUUGAGAUUUUACUUACCUUUGAUUGAUACAAUUUGUUCUGUUUAAAGAAAUUAUAGUGCGACUGGUGAUUCUUUCCUAUUUGAUGCCUUAAUUGAUUAAUUCCUUUAGCUAUAUAAACAACACCUUUCUUCAUUAUUUUGGACAGAGUUUUGACCCUUACUAUUACUGACUUUUUACACUGAACAAUAUUUACUCUGCUCUAGACACAUAAAAUAUCUCUUUUGCUUUUGGUCUUGAGACUUCGACUACUACUAUUACGAUAGAUUUUUACUUUGAAAAGCACGGUUUUCUUAUUUAUGUUUUAUUACUUUCACUUCUAAUCGGUUAGUUUUUUCUAACGAUGCAUUAGUUUCUUUUUCUAUUAAUUCUAUGUGAUUAUGAUUUUGUUUUUGUUUGCGUAUUUUAAAUGCUUGAUGUCAUAAGCCUUCUACUCGUUUUUGUGCAUUUCCAAUAUCAAUUGGGUGUUUAUGCUAUUUUCUUUUGUCAACGUGACAUGUUUUGUACCUCUAUUUGCAAUUAAAUAUUUUUCCCACUGGAGUGUUUGUUGUAUGUAAAUUCAAAACGACCUUUCUGCAUCUCAUAACCUUUUUGGCGUGAUUCUUAGGAUCUCAACAGAGCCAAGGGUUGGUUGUGUGUUGUCAAAGAUAUGUUGUGGAUUCGGGAAGUAUUAUAGUGUCUUUGCUUCUGUUCGCAGGUUAAAAGGCAACCAUUCAGAGGAGAGUUCGUUUGGAAUUUUGUGAUUUUGGAGAUUUUCUAAUCUUUUCUUUAUUAUGCCUUGUUUAUAUUUUAUUUAUUUAUUUAUUAUAUUGGUCUGUAAUAUAUGUAUAAACACUGAUAUAUAUAAUGGAAAACGGGGAUUGCUCAUGGGGGGACGAGAUUAUAUGACCUGAAUAUUUGAUAACAAUUGCUUUAUCACUUAGGCAAUAAUUCUAGGAUCAUCAAUUAAAUUCUAUCUCCUAGAAGUCAUGUUUUAGGAUUUCUAAUUAACACACAACAUAUAAAAAUUAAUUUUAAGCAUGUCAAUUUAAUUUAUAGCAUGUUUAGUUAAUUUUCACAUAUUUUUAUCCAUUUUUGCAUAUUUAGUAAUUUUUUCUGCACAUUCAAAGUUUUUAUUCUGUCAUUAUUAAUUUUUUGCACUUUAAGAUAAACUACAUUUUAAACAUUUUUUGUGCAUUGUUUAAUUAAAUUUCUGAGCAGUUCAAUUAUU
rnacentral:lncRNA from 1 species